GUUAACUGUGUGAGUAAUCCUCCUGAGCGGGCUUGAGCAGAUACUAGUCAUGAGUCAGUACUGCAGGGUCGUGUUUGUGAGAAGAGCUUGGGCUCGAGGGCCAGUUAGAGCCUGCAUGUGGAUGUGGAGGAGAGGCAAAGAAAGGAGAAAGGUCUGUGGCAAUGAAAACAAAACACCACUUUCCUCUACUCCUGUGAAUGAACCCUUUGGCUAACCAAGAGUCCUCCCCAUGCAUGGAAGCUGGUGACUUUCAUCUUUUCUGGGAAAGCUGUUGAUGGUUACAGAGGAGGUAUAUGUACUGGGCUCUGUCCAGUUCUGUUGUUAGUCCAAAAUAUAAAUCCUAAACUUCAAGAAUGGAUUCUGCUCUUUGUGUAUGGAAGUACGAAGUGCUGCAAUUCUGCAGGCCACAUCCUAAGCUGUAGCAGCUGUGAUAUAAGUUAUCUCUUUGCUCCUGGUGAAAAUUAUUUGACACACAGCGAGUCCAAUCCAGUGUUUCAAGUCUCCUCGCCUCUGUCUGCCUUCCAGCAUGUGUUGCUGUCAAAUUUCUUUGCAAGGAAAAUAUCUGCGGUGUGAUGAAUACUGGACCGUGGUCUUGGAGGAUGAUGAAAGCUGAGGAGGCAGCCAGUUGCAAAGGAGAAACCUUAUUCUCUGCAGUCUGAUUCUGGAUGCACUUCUGCAGAUACCCAUCAACUGUAAAGACGAUGAAAUCUUUGGUGUGGUACCGGUGUGAACCAGCAUCAGAAUUGGGCUUUAGAGCUAGUCCUUGAAAUUCUCUAUGACCAUUUAGCCAGCUAGGACCUUAUUUUAAUGUCACCAGUAGAUGUAUGAAGAAACAAUUGCAGGAAACUCCUCAGGGGGAGAAAUUCAAGGAAGAUCCUUUAUCAGAGGUUCUAGCCCUUGCUUAGGGGAAUAUGAAAGUUGCAGCAGAUAGUUGUAGCUCUGUAUUUUCCUGAGCCUUAUGCAAGAUCCAAAUGGGUGCUUCCAAGGCUACCUGGAGUCUCCUGGCUGGGGGUAACUGGCUCCUCGGGCCGCAGGAGGUGGCAGUGCCAGGAGCUGGCUGGGUCAGCAGCAAGUCGCAGCACAGCAGCAGCCCUGCAGGUAGGCUGCUG